UGCUUGUUGGCUUUCACGGUUUAAGGCGUAGCAUUGGAAUUGCUAUGUAGGCUUUUGUUUACCGAGGGUUCGAAUCCCUCUCUUUCCG
rnacentral:tRNA from 1 species